UGAGGAAUAUUGGUCAAUGGCGUAAGCCUGACCCACGCAACGCCGCGUGAAGGAAGAAGGCCCUCGGGUUGUAAACUUCUUUUGUCAGGGACGAAGCAAGUGACGGUACCUGACGAAUAAGCCACGGCUAACUACGUGCCAGCAGCCGCGGUAAUACGUAGGUGGCAAGCGUUAUCCGGAUUUACUGGGUGUAAAGGGCGUGUAGGCGGGAGAGCAAGUCAGAUGUGAAAUUCCAGGGCUCAACCUGGAACUGCAUUUGAAACUGUUUUUCUUGAGUGAUGGAGAGGCAGGCGGAAUUCCGUGUGUAGCGGUGAAAUGCGUAGAUAUACGGAGGAACACCAGUGGCGAAGGCGGCUUACUGGACGGUAACUGACGUUGAGGCUCGAAAGCGUGGGGAGCAACAGGAUUAGAUACCC
rnacentral:rRNA from 1 species